AGCAUGCAGACACACAUCUGGUCGGUCUUACAGAACAGCUCCAGCAGUUUAUCGUGCUUCGUACACAUCCUGCCUUCCAGGUUCUCCACAGGGUCGAUCAGCUGAUGUCUUUUCAGGCCUGACGUUGUCAGAUGAGGCUCCAGGUGAGUCUCACAGUAGGAGACCAGACACACCAGGCAGGACUUCAGGGCCUUCAGUUUGGUUCCAGUGCAGACGUCACAGGGAACUUCUCCUGGUUUGGAAACUUGUUGCUCUGAGCUGCUGCUGCUGGCUUUCUGUUGAGCUGACUGUCUGAACUGAGCAGCCAUCUCAGAGAUGAAAGUAUUGACCUGCAGCUCAGGUCUUGUGCUGAAAACCUUUUUACAGUUGGGACACUGACACUGGACAUUAAUAUUCCAGUGUUCAGUGAUGCAGGUUUUACAGAAGUUGUGUCCACAUGGUAUGGUGACUGGAUCAGUGAACACAUCCAGACAGAUGGAGCACAGAAACUGAUCUUCAGUCAGCAGACAGCUGGCAGCAGACAU